rnacentral:rRNA from 1 species
UACGGAGGAUGCGAGCGUUAUCCGGAUUUAUUGGGUUUAAAGGGUGCGUAGGCGGGAUGCCAAGUCAGCGGUAAAAAUGCGGUUCUCAACGCCGUCGAGCCGUUGAAACUGGCGUUCUUGAGUGGGCGAGAAGUAUGCGGAAUGCGUGGUGUAGCGGUGAAAUGCAUAGAUAUCACGCAGAACUCCGAUUGCGAAGGCGGCAUACCGGCGCCCUACUGACGCUGAGGCACGAAAGCGUGGGUAUCGAACAGG